UACGUAGGGUGCGAGCGUUAAUCGGAAUUACUGGGCGUAAAGUGUGCGCAGGCGGCCGAGCAAGUCGAGUGUGAAAGCCCCGAGCUUAACUUGGGAACUGCGCUCGAAACUACUUGGCUAGAGUGUGGCAGAGGGAGGUGGAAUUCCACGUGUAGCGGUGAAAUGCGUAGAGAUGUGGAGGAACACCGAUGGCGAAGGCAGCCUCCUGGGCCAACACUGACGCUCAUGCACGAAAGCGUGGGGGGCAAACAGG
rnacentral:rRNA from 1 species